CCUGUUUAACAAAAACAUGUCUUUUUGAGUUAUUUUUAAAGUCUGACCUGCCCACUGAAAAUUUUUAAAUGGCCGCAGUAUUUUAACUGUGCAAAGGUAGCAUAAUCAUUAGUCUUUUAAUUGAAGGCUGGUAUGAACGGUUGGACGAAGUAUAAGCUGUUUCAUAUAAAUUUAUAAUAGAAUUUUAUAUUUUAGUUAAAAAGCUAAAAUAUAAUUAAAAGACGAGAAGACCCUAUAAAUCUUGAUAUUUUAUUUUAUUUAAAUUUUUUGGAUUUGUUUUAUUUUUAUAUAAUAAAAUAUUUUGUUGGGGUGAUAUUAAAAUUUAAUGAACUUUUAAUUUUUAAAAAUCAUUAAUUUAUGAAUUAUUGAUCCAUUAAUAGUGAUUAUAAGAUUAAGUUACUUUAGGGAUAACAGCGUAAUUUUUUUGGAGAGUUCAUAUCGAUAAAAAAGUUUGCGACCUCGAUGUUGGAUUAAGAUAUAAUUUUAGG
rnacentral:rRNA from 1 species